AAAGAUUUAGUUAAAUUUAUAACGUAGGAUUGUCAAUUCUAAAUUGUCUGCAAUCUUUU
rnacentral:tRNA from 1 species